rnacentral:rRNA from 1 species
CCGGCGCACGGGUGAGUAACACGUAUCCAACCUGCCGUCUACUCUUGGACAGCCUUCUGAAAGGAAGAUUAAUACAAGAUGGCAUCAUGAGUCCGCAUGUUCACAUGAUUAAAGGUGUUCCGGUAGACGAUGGGGAUGCGUUCCAUUAGAUAGUAGGCGGGGUAACGGCCCACCAAACCUUCGAUGGAUAGGGGUUCUGAGAGGAAGGUCCCCCACAUUGGAACUGAGACACGGUCCAA